GACGAAGGAUCCAAGCGUUAUCCGGAUUCAUUGGGUUUAAAGGGUGCGUAGGCGGGUUUGUAAGUCAGUGGUGAAAUCCUAUCGCUUAACGAUGGAACUGCCAUUGAUACUGCGGACCUAGAAUAUAGAUGAUGUUGGCGUAAUAUGACAUGUAGCGGUGAAAUUCAUAGAUAUGUCAUAGAACACCGAUUGCGAAGGCAGCUGACAAAACUAUUAUUGACCCUGAUGCACGAAAGUGCGGGGAUCAAACAGG
rnacentral:rRNA from 1 species